rnacentral:rRNA from 1 species
GAAGGGUGCGAGCGUUAUUCGGAAUUAUUGGGCGUAAAGGGUUCGUAGGCGGGAUUGUAAGUCAAGUGUGAAAUCCCCGAGCUUAACUCGGGACGUGCAUUUGAAACUGUGAUUCUUGAGUCAUUGAGAGGGUGGUGGAAUUGUUGGUGUAGGAGUGACAUCCGUAGAGAUCAACAGGAACAUCAGAGGCGAAAGCGGCCACCUGGCAAUGUACUGACGCUGAGGAACGAAAGCGUGGGGAGCAAACAGGAUUAGAUACCCUGGUAGUCCACGCCAUAAACGAUGAUAACUAGSUGUUGGGGGAGUUGACCCCCUCAGUACCGUAGCUCACGCGCUAAGUUAUCCGCCUGGGGAGUACGACCGCAA